rnacentral:misc_RNA from 1 species
GAAAUGCGAUAAGUAAUGUGAAUUGCAGAAUUCAGUGAAUCAUCGAAUCUUUGAACGCACCUUGCGCUCCUUGGUAUUCCUUGGAGCAUGCCUGUUUGAGUUUCAUGAAAUCUUCAAAGUAAAUCUUUUGUUAACUCAAUUGGUUUCUACUUUGGUAUUGGAGGUCUUUGCAGCUUCACACCUGCUCCUCUUUGUUCAUUAGCUGGAUCUCAGUGUUAUGCUUGGUUCCACUCGGCGUGAUAAGUUAUCUAUCGCUGAGGACACUGUAAAAGGUGGCCAAGGUAAAUGCAGAUGAACCGCUUCUAAUAGUCCAUUGACUUGGACAAUACUUUUAUGAUCUGAUCUCAAAUCAGGUAGGACUACCCGCUGAACUUAAGC